AUGAACGCUGGCGGCGUGCCUAAUACAUGCAAGUCGAGCGAACAGACGAGGAGCUUGCUCCUCUGACGUUAGCGGCGGACGGGUGAGUAACACGUGGAUAACCUACCUAUAAGACUGGGAUAACUUCGGGAAACCGGAGCUAAUACCGGAUAAUAUAUUGAACCGCAUGGUUCAAUAGUGAAAGACGGUUUUGCUGUCACUUAUAGAUGGAUCCGCGCCGCAUUAGCUAGUUGGUAUGGUAACGGCUUACCAAGGCGACGAUGCGUAGCCGACCUGAGAGGGUGAUCGGCCACACUGGAACUGAGACACGGUCCAGACUCCUACGGGAGGCAGCAGUAGGGAAUCUUCCGCAAUGGGCGAAAGCCUGACGGAGCAACGCCGCGUGAGUGAUGAAGGUCUUCGGAUCGUAAAACUCUGUUAUUAGGGAAGAACAAAUGUGUAAGUAACUAUGCACGUCUUGACGGUACCUAAUCAGAAAGCCACGGCUAACUACGUG
rnacentral:rRNA from 1 species